rnacentral:rRNA from 1 species
GAUGAACGCUGGCGGCGUGCCUAAUACAUGCAAGUCGAGCGAACGGACGAGAAGCUUGCUUCUCUGAUGUUAGCGGCGGACGGGUGAGUAACACGUGGAUAACCUACCUAUAAGACUGGGAUAACUUCGGGAAACCGGAGCUAAUACCGGAUGAUAUUUUGAACCGCAUGGUUCAAAAGUGAAAGACGGUCUUGCUGUCACUUAUAGAUGGAUCCGCGCUGCAUUAGCUAGUUGGUAAGGUAACGGCUUACCAAGGCAACGAUGCAUAGCCGACCUGAGAGGGGGAUCGGCCACACGGGAACGGAGGCACGGUCCAGACUCCUACGGGAGGCAGCAGUAGGGAAUCUUCCGCAAUGGGCGAAAGCCUGACGGAGCAACGCCGCGUGAGUGAUGAAGGUCUUCGGAUCGUAAAACUCUGUUAUUAGGGAAGAACAUAUGUGUAAGUAACUGUGCACAUCUUGACGGUACCUAAUCAGAAAGCCACGGCUAACUACGUG